rnacentral:misc_RNA from 1 species
AGGCGGGCGGAAUGUUGUUUGCCGACGCCUGCUGCGGCAAGGCGGAGUUCGACGCGGCCUUCCGGGCCCUGGUCGCGAAGAUGUAUCCCGGGCAGAAGCUGGAAGUGAUCGACGCGAACGAUGAGCUGUACUCGGCGAAGCUGAACGGCGCCGCGAUCGUGAACGUGAAGCGUCGCGAGAAGGGCGACGGGACGGGUACGGACGGCGGCUUCAAGGACAUGCCCCCCUUCCUGGAGGGGCUGAGGAUCGACGGCCACUGGGCGAUCAUCUACAGCAAGUACGACGUCGGCUGCGCCCUGGAAGGCCACAAGUCCACCGACUGCCGCGGCCACGAUCGUGACAGCGCGCUCCGCAUCGGCACGGCGGCACUGCUGUAUGCGUUGAAGCGGUAACGCACGAAUCGAACUCUCUCCAGGCCGGUUUUGAGUUCUUUGGUUCCAGUUUGAUGUCUGCUCCUCCUCCGCAGGGUCUGCGAUGCGUCCAAAGCUCCUUGCGGUUGCAAUCUUCUCAAUGUUCGUUUCCUCCGACAUCCGGGCGGACGGGUGCAAGUUUGCCCGCAACGGGCGUCUUGUGCCCGAGCGUGAGCAGCGGGCGCUCAUCGAAUUGUCCGACGGGAUCGAGACGCUGACGCUGGCGGUUCGCAGCGACCCGACGACCGAGGGGAACGUGUGGGUAGUGCCGAUCCGGGCAGCAGCGACCCGGGUGGGGGCGGAACCGAUCGAGAAAUUCCCGGCCGUCACCUACUACGAGACCCUGCGGAGCCGGGCCGAUCGGCGGCUUCAAGAGUUUGUCCAGGUCACGGCCGUACUGGAUUCCGGAGGCUUCCUGUGCCCCGUCUUGCUCGCCGGAGUCGGCGGUUGCGGGGGCGGGCCGCCCACUUCGAAAUCCGCCGU